GCAGGCAACUCAAAAAAAAAAAAAAGGCAAAGGAUAGCCGCGUGGAUGAGAGCCCCGUCGCCGCUCCAUCCGGCGACCGACAAGUGGGCCGGCGUGGCGCAGGCAGCUGUCACGCACACGGCGGCGGUGCCACGGCGUGCGCGGCAAAAGCGCCCUCGUCAGCGAUCACCCGGCCCGGCCGUCCAAAACCCCAGACCGAGAGCCGCUCCGGCCGCCGGCUAGGGUUUCCCUCAUGGCGCGGCGCGGCGGCGGCGGGAGGCGGAGCAAGGUGAUGCCGAACCUGGGGGCGGACCGGGAGGGCACGCGGCUGCUCAACCUCACCGUUCUGCGGCGCCUCGACCCCGCCGUCGCCGACAUCCUCAUCACCGCCGCCAGCGUCACCGCCUACAGCUUCGACCAGGACACGGUCCGAUGGAGCCACAAGGGCGUGGAGGGGUCGCUCUUCGUCGUCAAGAGGAACACCCAACCCAGAUUCCAGUUUCUCAUCAUGAAUCGUCGAAAUACAGAAAAUCUGGUCGAGGAUCUCCUGGGCGGUUUUGAUUACAAGGUGGAAGUUCCUUACAUAAUAUACACCAAUGCUGCAGCCGAAAUUAUUGGAAUUUGGUUCUAUGAGCCUGAGGAAUGUGAAGAAGUGGCACAUCUUUUCAGUAGGAUAUAAAGCAUAUUCCAGGGCGUCCCCAGAGAAAAUGGUUCCUUCAGUUAAAAGUUUCAGUGAUUCUGAAGAGCUGGAAGUAGCAUCUGAUGUUCCCUCAUCUGAAGAUACCCUAGAGCAGCCAACAACACCAUCUACCAUGGUACCUGGCGAUGUUGGAUUCAAGUUAUUGUCAGCUUUGUUAACAGCAGCUGCAUGUGUUGGAGCACCCACUGGUGGAGCAGGUCCAGUACAGCCAAAUCAACCUAUCAGGGCGGUUCCUUCUUCUAGGCGUGCAUCGCCAGCGCCUAGUGCUGUUUCGUCACAGCCUUCUACCUCGCAUAAUCUGCUUCCUCCUCCACGAGCAUCAGCAGCUACCGUGGUUCCCCAAGAUGCUCAUGUACCCACCAGCGCUCCUACCAUUCAGCCUGCUAGUCUUACAAAACCACCAUUCUUUCCCCCCAUUGUUACCACAUCUUCGCAAGCAGCAACAGCUCAUGCUGCUUUUCCAUCUUCAGCUCCACCCCCAUUUCUUCCCCCCCUUGCCAUUCAGCACCGGCAGAGUGCUCCCUGUCUCCAGCCAUUUCCACUACCCGCUGCUCCUCCUCCAAUUGAUCCUCCGCACAGGCAAAGUGCUCCCUUGUCCCAGCCCUUUGCACAAUCCACUGCUCCUCCUCCACUUGAUCCUCAGCACAGGGAAAGUGCUCCCUUGGCCCAGCCCUUUACACAAUCCACUGCUCCUCCUGCACUUGAUCCUCAGCAGAGGCAAAGUGCUGCCUUGCUCAAGCCCUUUCAACUAUCCUCUGCUCCCCCUCCACCUCGUCCUCAGCACUGGCAAAGGUCUCCUUCGCUCGAGCACUUUGCACGGCCCACUGAAUGCCCCCCUCCACCUUACGGUGCGCUGUUGCUUCAGCCAUUUCCACCACCUAAUCCUCCUCCUCCACUGCUUGCCCCAACAGCAUCGUAUGGCCCAGUGGUACUAUCAAGAGACAACCUGAGAGGUGCAUUGCUGAGGCUUGUGCAGAAUGAUGAUUUCAUCGACAUGUUCUACCGGGAGAUUGUAAAAGGGUAGCAGUGCCUUUGAAGUUGAGAGACGGACGAAUCUGCUACAGGCUUGCCUUGUGUUUCAUGUGGUGCGUUUCGUCAAAGCCUGCGUAGACAGAGAUGUGCGUCUCACAUCCUGUAGAGGCUAACAUAGUUUAGACUGCAGUGUCGAGACUUGGCGGGAAGUAAAAGAAGUCGUGUCGACUAGUUUUCAGUUGUAAUUAAUACUUAUUACUGUAGUAAAGUUUGGCUCCAAAUAUUUAAGGUGCUGUACCUUACCAGCUUACCAACUGGAUUAGAUUAGAUCUCUAUUGUACCGGAGGCAGCGAUUGAGGAUGAAUUACCUACUAACAUUACUGGAAUCGUUUGCUGAGUGCA